ACUCCUACGGGAGGCAGCAGUCGGGAAUUUUGCGCAAUGGACGAAAGUCUGACGCAGCAACGCCGCGUGAGGGAUGAAGGCCUUCGGGUUGUAAACCUCUUUUCUCAGGGAAGAUAAUGACGGUACCUGAGGAAUAAGUCACGGCUAACUACGUGCCAGCAGCCGCGGUAAUACGUAGGAGGCGAGCGUUAUCCGGAUUUACUGGGCG
rnacentral:rRNA from 1 species